UGAGGAAUAUUGGGCAAUGCCCGCAAGGGUGACCCAGCAACGCCGCGUGGAGGAUGAAUGUCGUAAGAUUGUAAACUCCUGUUAGAGGGGAAGAAUAGUACCGGUUGGACCGGUAUAUGACUGUACCCUCAGAGAAAGCCCCGGCUAACUACGUGCCAGCAGCCGCGGUAAUACGUAGGGGGCAAGCGUUGUCCGGAUUUACUGGGUGUAAAGGGCGCGCAGGCGGGAUAAAAAGUCAGUGGUGAAAUCCUACAACUUAACUGUAGAACUGCCUUUGAUACUUUUAUUCUUGAGUUCGGGAGAGAGAGACGGAAUUCCAGGUGUAGUGGUGAAAUACGUAGAUAUCUGGAAGAACACCAGUUGCGAAGGCGGUCUCUUGGUCCGACACUGACGCUGAGGCGCGAAAGCGUGGGGAGCAAACA
rnacentral:rRNA from 1 species